ACGAACGCUGGCGGCAGGCUUAACACAUGCCAGUCGAACGCACCUUUCGGGGUGAGUGGCAGACGGGUGAGUAACGCGUGGGAAUCUACCCUUCUCUACGGGAUAGCUCCGGGAAACUGGAAUUAAUACCGUAUACGUCCUGAGGGAGAAAGAUUUAUCGGGGAAGGAUGAGCCCGCGUUGGAUUAGCUAGUUGGUGGGGUAAAGGCCUACCAAGGCGACGAUCCAUAGCUGGUCUAAGAGGAUGAUCAGCCACAUUGGGACUGAGACACGGCCCAAACUCCUACGGGAGGCAGCAGUGGGGAAUAUUGGACAAUGGGCGCAAGCCUGAUCCAGCCAUGCCGCGUGAGUGAUGAAGGCCCUAGGGUUGUAAAGCUCUUUCAGUGGGGACGAUAAUGACGGUACCCACAGAAGAAGCCCCGGCUAACUUCGUG
rnacentral:rRNA from 1 species